GUACGUUGGGGUCAAUAUGAGAGCGGUGGUGGGGGUACGUUGGGGUCAAUAUGAGAGCGGUGGUGGGGGUACGUUGGGGUCAAUAUGAGAGAGGUGGAGGGAGUACGUUGGGGUCAAUAUGAGAGCGGUGGAGGGAGUACGUUGGGGUCAAUAUGAGAGAGGUGGAGGGAGUACGUUGGGGUCAAUAUGAGAGCGGUGGAGGGAGUACGUUGGGGUCAAUAUGAGAGAGGUGGAGGGAGUACGUUGGGGUCAAUAUGAGAGCGGUGGAGGGAGUACGUUGGGGUCAAUAUGAGAGAGGUGGAGGGAGUACGUUGGGGUCAAUAUGAGAGCGGUGGAGGGAGUACGUUGGGGUCAAUAUGAGAGAGGUGGAGGGAGUACGUUGGGGUCAAUAUGAGAGCGGUGGAGGGAGUACGUUGGGGUCAAUGUGAGAGAGGUGGAGGGAGUACGUUG